rnacentral:rRNA from 1 species
GACGAACGCUGGCGGCGUGCUUAACACAUGCAAGUCGAACGGAAAGGCCCUGCUUUUGUGGGGUGCUCGAGUGGCGAACGGGUGAGUAACACGUGAGUAACCUGCCCUUGACUUUGGGAUAACUUCAGGAAACUGGGGCUAAUACCGGAUAGGAGCUCCUGCUGCAUGGUGGGGGUUGGAAAGUUUCGGCGGUUGGGGAUGGACUCGCGGCUUAUCAGCUUGUUGGUGGGGUAGUGGCUUACCAAGGCUUUGACGGGUAGCCGGCCUGAGAGGGUGACCGGCCACAUUGGGACUGAGAUACGGCCCAGACUCCUACGGGAGGCGGCAGUGGGGAAUAUUGCACAAUGGGCGGAAGCCUGAUGCAGCAACGCCGCGUGCGGGAUGACGGCCUUCGGGUUGUAAACCGCUUUCGCCUGUGACGAAGCGUGAGUGACGGUAAUGGGUAAAGAAGCACCGGCUAACUACGUGCCAGCAGCCGCGGUGAUACGUAGGGUGCGAGCGUUGUCCGGAUUUAUUGGGCGUAAAGGGCUCGUAGGUGGUUGAUCGCGUCGGAAGUGUAAUCUUGGGGCUUAACCCUGAGCGUGCUUUCGAUACGGGUUGACUUGAGGAAGGUAGGGGAGAAUGGAAUUCCUGGUGGAGCGGUGGAAUGCGCAGAUAUCAGGAGGAACACCAGUGGCGAAGGCGGUUCUCUGGGCCUUUCCUGACGCUGAGGAGCGAAAGCGUGGGGAGCGAACAGGCUUAGAUACCCUGGUAGUCCACGCUGUAAACGGUGGGUACUAGGUGUGGGGUCCAUUCCACGGGUUCCGUGCCGUAGCUAACGCUUUAAGUACCCCGCCUGGGGAGUACGGCCGCAAGGCUAAAACUCAAAGGAAUUGACGGGGCCCCGCACAAGCGGCGGAGCAUGCGGAUUAAUUCGAUGCAACGCGUAGAACCUUACCUGGGUUUGACAUGGAUCGGGAGUGCUCAGAGAUGGGUGUGCCUCUUUUGGGGUCGGUUCACAGGUGGUGCAUGGCUGUCGUCAGCUCGUGUCGUGAGAUGUUGGGUUAAGUCCCGCAACGAGCGCAACCCUUGUUCACUGUUGCCAGCACGUUAUGGUGGGGACUCAGUGGAGACCGCCGGGGUCAACUCGGAGGAAGGUGGGGAUGACGUCAAGUCAUCAUGCCCCUUAUGUCCAGGGCUUCACGCAUGCUACAAUGGCUGGUACAGAGAGUGGCGAGCCUGUGAGGGUGAGCGAAUCUCGGAAAGCCGGUCUCAGUUCGGAUUGGGGUCUGCAACUCGACCUCAUGAAGUCGGAGUCGCUAGUAAUCGCAGAUCAGCAACGCUGCGGUGAAUACGUUCCCGGG